rnacentral:rRNA from 1 species
UACGUAGGGGGCAAGCGUUGUCCGGAUUUAUUGGGCGUAAAGAGCGUGUAGGCGGCCUGACAGGUCUGCUGUGAAAACUCGAGGCUCAACCUCGAGAUGUCGGCGGAAACCGUCUGGCUAGAGUCCGGAAGAGGAGAGUGGAAUUCCUGGUGUAGCGGUGAAAUGCGCAGAUAUCGGGAAGAACACCUAUGGCGAAGGCAGCUCUCUGGGACGGUACUGACGCUGAGACGCGAAAGCGUGGGGAGCGAACAGG